CCUAAAGGCGCAAUGAAAGUAAAGGUCGUCCUUGUGAUGAUUGAGGGAGGAUGGGCUGUGUUAAGAUACAGCUCCGCACUCCCGGGGCGUCUCAUUCUCAUUAUGAGAAGAGGCGCACCUAGAGCGUACACGUUGGGACCCGAAAGAUGGUGAACUAUGCCUGGUCAGGACGAAGUCAGGGGAAACCCUGAUGGAGGUCCGUAGCGAUUCUGACGUGCAAAUCGAUCGUCGGAACUGGGUAUAGGGGCGAAAGACUAAUCGAACCAUCUAGUAGCUGGUUCCCUCCGAAGUUUCCCUCAGGAUAGCUGGCACUCGCGUUAUACGAGUCUCAUCUGGUAAAGCGAAUGAUUAGAGGCCUUGGGGCCGAAACGACCUCAACCUAUUCUCAAACUUUAAAUGGGUGAGAUCUCUGGCUUGCUUGAAUAUAUGAAGCCAUGAGAUUUCGGAUCAGAGUGCCAAGUGG
rnacentral:rRNA from 1 species